rnacentral:rRNA from 1 species
AUGGGCCCGCUCCCAAGUGCGUCUGCACACCGGCCACUCACGCCGGGUCCUUCAAGUGCCGCUUCCACCGCACCAACUCCUAGGGCCACGGCCACGGCCACGGCCAGGGAAGCCGUCCUUCUUCGCCCCCUUCACCGGCCGCAGCCAACGCGGUGCCGUGGCACCCGGCCUCGCCGUCCUCGUCCUCCGGCACCGUCGCGACCCAGUGACGCAGCCCAAGCAUCGGUCUCGAGAAUCAAGAAUGCUCGACAACGGAGAGGGAAGGGAAGAUCAUAUACAUGUUAUAAGAAAGGGAGUUUAUUUACUGCUUCCUCUAUGUAUUGUUUUCUUUGUUUGGAGAUUGAUUACCAUCCGUGA